CCUGGUGUCACGCCCGGGUACCAGCGGAAGCAUAUCCGGCACGUGCACAGACCCGCCAUACACCUGCAGUAUAUAAGGCGUCUACAAGUAACAAGUCGAUAGGAAGUAAAACAAAGAAAGUCCUAUCCUGAUAUCAGAGCAAUGUACAGGUCGAUAUAUAUCAACAAAAGAACAAAAAGUGUACAAACCCAAAAUCUCGACAGAAGAGAAGUGUCACAACUGUAGUUCACGGUCCAAGUGGUACAUAUACAUCACGAGUAUACAAAAAUAGGAUAGAUACAAUGGUGGUUUCUCUAUACAAAGGGACAUCACCCUCGGCCGUAGUCCGAGUAGCAAGGUGAUCGACUAGCACGCUCCUAGUAGUCCCUAGUUAGGCGCGACUCCCUUGCCAUGAUCCCUAGCCUCUCCUGUAACAGGCUCUGUAAAAACAACCACCAAAAGGGCGUGAGAACUAUUAACAAUAGUUCCCAGUGGGUAAGCCGCCAGCCUCGGCGAAUUACACCACUAGGCUCAUGAUGUACUAAAUGAAAAUAAAAGCAGUAAUUUGCAUGAUAUAUACAUAUGCAAUGCUACCAGUAACAAGCAUGUAUUCAACAUGUAAACAUGAUUGCUGCAGUAAUGAAUCAACUGAAUAGUAGAAGUAUCGAAACUACUAUAAACAUGAACAUAAACAUAAUCAUAGGAGUGUAAGUACUACUGUACAUUACAACUGGUACUCAUUCAUUACUAUCAUUAUCGUUUUCACUUUCAUUUUCAUUUACCAGGAUCUACUCAAGGUAGUCCAGCUUGCGCCGCGCCUAAUGGCCCCGUGGUAGUAUACACUCCCCACAGCAAUCCACUUCGGCACCCAAUCCCGCACGGGCGAGCAACUGUCGCGUAGGCCAACUCCGGAGUGCCGGCUUGUAGGGAGCUACCCUCACAAGCGUGUGCGAAUGAGCACGAUGGCAAGCAAGCAAAGUCCAUUGUCCACAUGUCACAAUUUUCAUAAUUUCAAUGCAAAGAUCUUACCCUCGAUCCUCUGAUCAGAAUUUCAAUACACAAAUAGUAACAAGAGCUAGUAAUCACUAGAUUGUAACAUGUAAGGGUAAAGCUAAAUCAUAUAGCAUUAUAAUCUUUUCACUAGUAUGGCACUAUCAACAUAGUCCAGAGCAUGUCAUAGUUCUCUAUGUGAGAGUCAAGAGAAUGUCAGUGUUCUCUACAAGGUCACGAGAAUAUCAUUGUUCUCUACUUUACCAAAGCAUCAUUAGUAUGUCCGUUAGUUCACUUAACUAAAUAUAAACAUAACAUGGGCAUAAAGACACUUAUGCAUGAGUACUCUCUACUUCAUAGAGGUUCUAUUCAAACACUAUAAUAUAGUGACUUGUCUCAAAUUCUGUAUCAAUCACAAAAGCAUACAACUGUAUCAAUUCUAUAGUACAUAUAGAACAUAGGGGAGCUCCACUUGCUCUGGUUAGGUCAAACCCACCUAGUACUAAGCUCCAAUAGUCACAAGAAGUUCCAAAGAUCAGCUCCACUAGGUCUCAAACCUGCUGAACACAAACAUCAAUACCGCGUCAAAAUUACGACCGGAAUAUCCGAUUUCGGUCUAAAUUACACUUAGUACAAAGUAACCCCUUAAAUCCCUGUUUUGGGACUAGUGUAAUACCUCAGGAUAAGUCUCCAAGAGCUCUCACAAGUCAACUAACGCUGAUCCAAGGCUCGAUCGCACUCUCGCUGCGAACAAGAUCGAAACGGCAUCAAACUCAUCAUAUAGUAGCAAUUAGAAUCGGAAUCUUGCAAUUUCAGCUUCCUAACUGAAAUUCUUACUUACCUCAGGGUAGAAUCGCUUCCAAACCAACUUCACAGUGUACAAGUUCAGCUGAACAAGGCUCGAAGACCUGCUGCGAAGAGGUAAUUCCUAAUUUGCAUCAAUUCGCGCAAAUAAGUGCAAUUAGUUCUAAUUCAACUUCAAAAAUGGCUAAUAAUUCCAAUUAAGCUUUAAAGUAGCUUAUCCCUGGUCUAAGGAGGUUAAUUCACAUCUAUUUAACUCAUCUUUAAUGGCUGAAAUCUCAGCCUAGCACAGCAAGAAUCAAAAACCCGAAAUCAUUACUCAAAUCGGCAAAUAGGACGUCGAUAAC
rnacentral:lncRNA from 1 species